AACAACAAACAUCCUUUUGCUCUUGAAAGUGGUUCAGAACAGAAUAGAGAGAACAAGGUCUGCUGGCUGAAGCACUGGAGGAAUGAAAUGAAAACUUUGUUUGGAUUGAAAAGAAAGUAAAUAUUAUUCUUCCUGCUUUAAAGAUUUUAUAAGGUAAGUACUAAAGAAUCUUUGAAUUUUAAAUUAAUUUUU
rnacentral:lncRNA from 1 species